CACGUAGGGUGCGAGCGUUGUCCGGAAUUAUUGGGCGUAAAGAGCUCGUAGGCGGUGUGUCGCGUCGGCCGUGAAAACCUGCAGCUUAACUGUGGGCUUGCGGUCGAUACGGGCAUCACUGGAGUUCGGCAGGGGAGACUGGAAUUCCUGGUGUAGCGGUGAAAUGCGCAGAUAUCGGGAGGAACACCCGUAGCGAAGGCGGCACUCUGGGCCGUGACUGACGCUGAGGAGCGAAAGCGUGGGGAGCAAACGGG
rnacentral:rRNA from 1 species